AUGCAUAUGGUGUUCAUUGACUUGGAGAAGGCCUACAAUAAGAUACCGCGGAAUGUCAUGUGGUGGGCGUUGGAGAAACACACAGUCCUAACAAAGUACAUUACCCUCAUCAAGGACAUGUACGAUAAUGUUGUGACAAGUGUUCGAACAAGUGGUGGCGACACUGAUGACUUCCCGAUUAAAAUAGGACCGCACCAGUGGUCAGCUUUGAGCCCUUAUCCUUUUGCUUUGGUGAUGGAUGAGGUCACAAGGGAUAUACAAGGAGAUAUCCCAUGGUGCAUGCUCUUUGCGGAUGAUGUGGUGCUAGUCGAUGAUAGUCGGACGGGGUUAAUAGAAAGUACUACUAGGCACGAGGAGGAGGUUAGCCUUGAUGGGCAGGUGGUACCUCGAACACCUUUCGAUAUUUGGGGCUAUGGGGAUAUCGAUGAAGAUGUGAAUCAUCGAAUCAAAACCGGAUGGAUGAAGUGGCGCCAAGCUUCUGGAGUUCUCUGUGACAAGAGAGUGCCACAAAAGCUAAAAGGCAGGUUCUAUAGGAGAUUCGACCAGCAAUGUUGUAUGGCACUGAGUGUUGGCCGACUAAAAGGCGACAUGUUCAAUAGUUAG
rnacentral:rRNA from 1 species